GUUACAAUCUGCAUUAAGGGUGUUUUUAACAUCUCUCCUGUCUCUCAGCAGUUUGUGUAGCUGGGUGGUUUUAGUGAUCAGGUCAGAUUUGGAAAACAUGGUCAUGGUUAGGCGAGAGAUUGCACAGGGACCUCAUGUAAUGUUACCUGGGGCAUAAGCAUAAGUAAUAUUUCCACAGGAGAAAGUCCAUCCUUUAGGAAGAUAAACAUUGUAGUGGUAACUCAUAACUUGGUGAGUUUUGGUACAAUUCAUAGUGGUGCUUAGGGCUCUACAAUUCGUGGUAUUUUUCCACCAUGUGGGGCAAAACAGGGAUUCAGUAUUAGGGUCUCUUGAACAAUUACAUGAAAAAGACCAACAUAGUUCAGCGCCUGUCACAUUAAUUGUCUUCAGGGCUAGAGGAGGCUUGCCUAUGAGUGGGUUGAAGGCAUA
rnacentral:lncRNA from 1 species